rnacentral:rRNA from 1 species
GACGAACGCUGGCGGCGUGCCUAAUACAUGCAAGUUGAGCGAUGAAGAUUGGUGCUUGCACCAAUUUGAAGAGCAGCGAACGGGUGAGUAACGCGUGGGGAAUCUGCCUUUGAGCGGGGGACAACAUUUGGAAACGAAUGCUAAUACCGCAUAAUAACUUUAAACAUAAGUUUUAAGUUUGAAAGAUGCAAUUGCAUCACUCAAAGAUGAUCCCGCGUUGUAUUAGCUAGUUGGUGAGGUAAAGGCUCACCAAGGCGAUGAUACAUAGCCGACCUGAGAGGGUGAUCGGCCACAUUGGGACUGAGACACGGCCCAAACUCCUACGGGAGGCAGCAGUAGGGAAUCUUCGGCAAUGGACGAAAGUCUGGCCGAGCAACGCCGCGUGAGUGAAGAAGGGUUUCGGAUCGUAAAACUCUGUUGGUAGAGAAGAACGUUGGUGAGAGUGGAAAGCUCAUCAAGUGACGGUAACUACCCAGAAAGGGACGGCUAACUACGUG